UACGGGGGGGGCAAGCGUUGUUCGGAAUUACUGGGCGUAAAGGGUUCGUAGGCGGCCAACUAAGUCCGACGUGAAAUCCCCAGGCUUAACCUGGGAACUGCGUCGGAUACUGGAUGGCUUGAAUUCGGGAGAGGGAUGCAGAAUUCCAGGUGUAGCGGUGAAAUGCGUAGAUAUCUGGAGGAAUACCGGUGGCGAAGGCGGCAUCCUGGACCGACAUUGACGCUGAUGAGCGAAAGCUAGGGGAGCAAACGGG
rnacentral:rRNA from 1 species